rfam:Colletotrichum incanum strain MAFF 238704 contig3119, whole genome shotgun sequence.
GCGCCGAUGGUUUAGUGGUAAAAUUCUCCGUUGCCAUCAAGUAGCGUCGGGGAGCCGGGGGUUCGAUUCCCCCUCGGCGCA